AGACCCGAAACCCGGUGAUCUAGCCAUGGGCAGGUUGAAGGUUGGGUAACACUAACUGGAGGACCGAACCGACUAAUGUUGAAAAAUUAGCGGAUGACCUGUGGCUGGGGGUGAAAGGCCAAUCAAACCGGGAGAUAGCUGGUUCUCCCCGAAAGCUAUUUAGGUAGCGCCUCGUGAAUUCAUCUCCGGGGGUAGAGCACUGUUUCGGCUAGGGGGCCAUCCCGGCUUACCAACCCGAUGCAAACUGCGAAUACCGGAGAAUGUUAUCACGGGAGACACACGGCGGGUGCUAACGUCCGUCGUGAAGAGGGAAACAACCCAGACCGCCAGCUAAGGUCCCAAAGUCAUGGUUAAGUGGGAAACGAUGUGGGAAGGCCCAGACAGCCAGGAUGUUGGCUUAGAAGCAGCCAUCAUUUAAAGAAAGCGUAAUAGCUCACUGGUCGAGUCGGCCUGCGCGGAAGAUGUAACGGGGCUAAACCAUGCACCGAAGCUGCGGCAGCGAACGUAUCACCCAAGACAACUUUACGGAGUUGACGAUUGACGGAGCGAAGCGACGUCAAAGCGUUCAUUAAAGUCGAGUUGGCUUAGGGAUACGUUCGUUGGGUAGGGGAGCGUUCUGUAAGCCUGUGAAGGUGUGUCGUGAGGCAUGCUGGAGGUAUCAGAAGUGCGAAUGCUGACAUAAGUAACGAUAAAGCGGGUGAAAAGCCCGCUCGCCGGAAGACCAAGGGUUCCUGUCCAACGUUAAUCGGGGCAGGGUGAGUCGACCCCUAAGGCGAGGCCGAAAGGCGUAGUCGAUGGGAAACGGGUUAAUAUUCCCGUACUUGGUGUUACUGCGAAGGGGGGACGGAGAAGGCUAUGUUGGCCGGGCGACGGUUGUCCCGGUUUAAGCGUGUAGGUGUGUGUUCCAGGUAAAUCCGGUUCACUUUAACACUGAGGCGUGAUGACGAGGCACUACGGUGCUGAAGCAACAAAUGCCCUGCUUCCAGGAAAAGCCUCUAAGCAUCAGGUAACAUCAAAUCGUACCCCAAACCGACACAGGUGGUCAGGUAGAGAAUACCAAGGCGCUUGAGAGAACUCGGGUGAAGGAACUAGGCAAAAUGGUGCCGUAACUUCGGGAGAAGGCACGCUGACACGUAGGUGAAGUGAUUUACUCACGGAGCUGAAGUCAGUCGAAGAUACCAGCUGGCUGCAACUGUUUAUUAAAAACACAGCACUGUGCAAACACGAAAGUGGACGUAUACGGUGUGACGCCUGCCCGGUGCCGGAAGGUUAAUUGAUGGGGUCAGCGCAAGCGAAGCUCCUGA
rnacentral:rRNA from 1 species